rnacentral:rRNA from 1 species
GACGAACGCUGGCGGCGUGCCUAACACAUGCAAGUUGAGCGACGAACCAGGGCUUGCCCUGGGGCAAAGCAGCGAACGGGUGAGUAACACGUGGGUAACCUACCCCGAUAACCGGGACAACCCGAGUAAACUCGGGCUAAUACCGGAUGUGCUCACUGGACUUCGGUUCAGUGCGUAAAGGAAGCUUCGGCCUCCGUAUCGGGAGGGGCCCGCGGCCCAUUAGUUUGUUGGUGAGGUAACGGCUCACCAAGACCGCGAUGGGUAGCUGGUCUGAGAGGACGAUCAGCCACACUGGGACUGAGACACGGCCCAGACUCCUACGGGAGGCAGCAGUGGGGAAUCUUGCGCAAUGCGCGAAAGCGUGACGCAGCAACGCCGCGUGGGGGAAGAAGGCCUUCGGGUUGUAAACCCCUUUCAGGAGGGACGAAGGUUCGGCGGUGAAUAGCCGUCCGGACUGACGGUACCUCCACAAGAAGCCCCGGCUAACUACGUG